GCUCGGUUAGCUCAGUUGGUUAGAGCGUCGUACUAAUAUUAUAUAAUGUCUGAUUAUGUAACAUUGGUAAUGCGAAGGUCAUGAGUUCGACCCUCAUACUGAGCA